AGCAAGCCAGCGCCUCAGCUUCACGGAGAACCUCCUGGAAGGGGAUCAAAUGAGAACUGUCUGUGAGGGGUGACGAGGCUCCAGUCCACAAGAGAAUGCAACACGCAGUGAGAGCCUAAAACCUCUGAAGAAGAUACCUCGUCCUCCAUUACUCUCUAAACUCCGUGCAGGAGACACGGUGGGGCCUGGUGUCAGUGACAGACAGCUGAGCAGAGGCUGGCCGCAUUAUCAGCAACUCUCUGAAUGUGCUUCCCCAAAAGAAUAUUCCCAUCCCAGCAAAGGAAGCCAAGAUCCAGACACUCAUAAAGAAAAUCAACGAUGGACUAAGGGGAACCGUCUCCAGAAAGGUCUAAGUAAAAGAUGUGGUCGGAAGACACUGACUGGCAGACACUCGUGCCCCUGAGGAGGGGAGCCCGCACUAAAGGAUCUCCCGCUCUCACUGAGGGAGCGAGUACUACUGUGGAAAUCACUUCAGCCAGGAAGCUGUGCUGGCUGUCUGGACCAGAACUGCAGCCAAUGCCAGGAUGAUGGAGGCAACAGAAUCCCCCCAGGAGACUCAGGGUGUCCAGUGAGGCGUGGUCCAUGCAUGACAGAAGCCUCCCCACAGACACAGAUGAUGGGGUCACUUACAAUUCCAUGCUGGACGAGCCUGGGUUCCUGAGAAACAAGAGAGAGUGAGUGCCUCCUCCGUGUUCCCUGCCUGCAGUCUUCCAGUGUGUUGUGCCCCAUGCAUUCAGAGGAAUGAUGUGUUAAAUGAAAAUUAACAUGAUAUUAGCAUACCAGGAAAAAUCACACAUCUGUGAUUGUAGUACCCUCCACUCUUUCUGCUCCCCCGGCUCUGGACUGGUGGGCUGUAGAUGACACAGAAAGGUGUCUGUUUUGGGUUGGGAUACAGAUGCUUAUGUUUUAAAAGGGGAAAACAUGGGGCUUCCUUGACAGUCCAGUUGUUAAGACUUUGCCUCCCGACGCAGGAGGUGUGGGGUUGAUUCCUGGUCAGGGAGCUAAGAUUCCCAUACCUCGCUGCCAAAAAACCAAAACAAAACAGAAGCAAUAUUAUAACAAAUUCAAUAAAAACUUUAAAAAAAAAAAAA
rnacentral:lncRNA from 1 species